CCUGCUGUUCUGCCAGCAGUAGCCUACUCGAUCGUGCGUCGCUGGUAACGGCGGGGGCGGAGCAUCGAGGGCAACGACCGGGACCGCGAAGCCUAGCCCGAGCCGCGAGGCGAAGGCAGCGCCUGCAAGCGCCGAUGCGGAAGCCAUG
rnacentral:ncRNA from 1 species